AAUGUACAAAAAAAAGACAUCUUCGAAACGCAAGUUGUGUUACAUGCAUAUAUCUUCGGUCAAGCAUGAAGAAACACAGAAUUUCACCAAUAUACGGUGGAAUACAUAUCGAAAUUUUCGGCAGCGGCUAGAAUUGAAGGGUGAGUGCAGAGACUAGCAGAACAUUUUAAGCAAUGUAUUGAGUUGGAGUUUGACGAAAUUCCCGAGGAUGCGGCUCUCCAUCCCACAUGCUACCGGAGGUUUAUUGACAAGCGGGAAAUUGAACGAGUCACACGGCGUGUCUUGCGAGAGGCAGAGAGGGGAGAUGGCCAACAAGACCCCCGAACUAGCCAGGCUACCUCCGCUUUAUCGGCUGUGACCACCACUCCGACCAGGAAACUGCGAUCCAGAUCAAGCUUGGCCAUCACGAGCUCUGGCCCCGUUCUUCCUGCUGUCUGCAUGAUUUGCAAGAAAGACAGCAAAUUUAUCGUCGCGAGUGGCAGACGUCAAAGAGAACGAAAACACAGACUUUAACCGCAGGCAAGUUGCAGGAAGCAGCUGAAGUAAAGGAAGCCAAGAGCAUCCUCAUUCACAUCAAGGACAGAGACUGUGUGGCUCUGGAGGUGCAGUACCACAGAAGUUGCUACAGAGAGUACACAAGGUUUUUGAGUGAGCCUGUCAGAGCAGAGAAAGAACAGAUUGGGCCAACAUUUGAUCUGAGCUACAAGUUAUUCUGCGAGAGGGUAAUCCGCUAAAGGCUACUGAUCAACCAAGAGGUGCUGAGGAUGAGCCAACUGAGGAAGGCCUUUAUUGCCCUUGUGCAGUCAAGUGAAGGUGUUGAUGCUUCAACCUACAGACAGGAUAUAUUGAAGAAGAGGCUCAGUCGUGAUUUUCCUCAGCUAGUGUUCCACACCCCCGCCAAACGCAACACAUCUGAACUGGUUUUUGCUGAGAACUUGUCGACGAAUGCAGUCUUGGACUUGUUACCAUCAGGUGCGGAGACGACUCAGUCCAGCGAAAUGAGCCAGACAGACAGCGACACAGAAAGGAGGAAGUCAAAGCAACCAACCACAGCAGAGGAGACACGGACACUUUACACAGCAGCUUUGCUUUUGAAGAGGCUGCUUAGUCACAGUCCUGGCAUGUCAUGCCCAUGGCCCCCAACUGCAGUAAACUUCAAUCUCACUGAAGUCAUUUGCUGUGGCAUGCGCAAAAGAUGUGUACCUGGAUGCUUUCACACAGUUCAUGAAAAUGCCGGUUCAUGUGUAUGCCACUUGUUUUGAUUUUUUUAUUUGUUGUAUAGUUAUUAGUGAAUAAAUGAAUACAUGAA